ensembl:lncRNA
AUUAAAUGACUCCAUUAUAAGAAACACCAGUUACUGACUGAGAAUGCUACAGUGUGAGGAGGCAGAGAGGGAGAGGCUGCUCCAUAAAUAAGGGAUUACUUCUUUAAAAAAAAUUUACUUAUUUGUUAUAUAUUCAGUGUUCUGUCUGUAUGUAUGCCUGCAGGCCAGAAGAGGGCACCACAUUACAGAUGGUUGUGAGCCACCAUGUGGCUGUUGGGAAUUGAAUUGAACUCAGGUCCUCUGGAAGAACAGUCAGUGCUCUUAACCUCUGAGCCAUCUCUCCAGCCCCUGCUUGGAUACUCUUAUCCAGAGGUCUGUGCUUCUAUUAGCAAACCUCUCCUGGAGGAGACAGAGAGUGUGAUCAGCAGACGACUAGGAGAUCACCGACUGCUGACCUGGGAGACGUCCCAGAGGUCUGGGGGAACCGAGGUUUCUGUCUGGGUGCUGGUGAGGGUACGGUGGUUCUCCUGGAUUGGGGAGUUACACACCCUCCCGGCUGUCUGUAUUUCUGGAGUGGUUUUGUCUGUCUAGGUGGAGACAGACAUCUGUUAGUUUUUGUCUCUGUGUCUUGGGUCUUUUUUGUGACUUUGACGAUGGGACCGACUGUAACUACCCCCCUCAGUCUGACUUUUGACUUUUGACCACUGGACAGACGUUAAGGACCAUAUUCAGUCAGAUAAAGUUACGACGCCCCCUUUCGCUGAGUCACGUGGUGCCACACUAGGUAACUUUCUUUCUUCUGUCUUUGUUUCUGUAUGGCUUCUGUGAAGUCUGGAGGAUUGGAACAGGCUGUGUGAUUGGCUAGUUAAGCGGGUUUGUUAUCUGAUCUGUUGCAAUCCACACCCUACCCGCCUGCUUUUCGAUGCUGUGUCAGUUUUGUGUUUUCAUGUCUACUGUUUUUGUUAAUUGUGUAAGCGUCUCUCUCUGUCCUUACUGCCCAUGCAUGUGGCAUGCUUGGGUCAGGGGUCUUUUCUUGCUGCCCUGAGCACAUGGCAUGCGGGACAGGAGUUCCUCUGCCAUGUGCCAUGGGUUAGAGUGUGCCUCGGAGGGGUCCCCUGUCACCGAGCACAUGGUGAGGCUGCUGUUCUGAACUCCAACCACUGCUGCGGCCCUCACAGCUGAGCCUGGCCGGUGCAGGUUUCUGCUUCUGGCAGACACAUCUGAGUAUCAGUUGCUGACUACAGGCUGUUCCUAAGUAGACUGCGAGCCCUGGAUGUGCUGUGGAUGUGAACCAGUCCAGCUGAUAUGGACAGCCGCUGUCUCUGCAACAGAGUCUGCCAACCAGAAGCUCCUGAUGGAUUCCCCAUUGCCUGAAUUCCCUUUUUGCUUUUGACUAGCAUUUCAGCCUUCUUGGGUCCCUAACUUCGUCUCAAAGUCAGCAGGAAGUAGAAUGGGAAAGAAUACGUUGCCCAUUUUCCCUGGUUGAAAUGCUAAGUCAAAAUAAACUCUGUUACAAUAAAUCUUUCCGCCAAAAGCUGCCCGAACCCUACAGCCACGUGGAUGGUCUCCACCAGCCACCUGAGUUCUGCCCGCCGAGUUAGGGCCCAAUUAAUGCACAGAGACUUAUAUUAGGUACAAAUGCUGCUUGGCCAAUGACGAGGAUGCUCAUCUGUUAGCUCAGUCUUAAUUAUCAUAAAAUCUAUGUAUUUUAUAAGACUUAUCAGACACCUUCCAUUGGCGUCCUCUCUUGCUGGUGGAUCAUAUCGUGAAUCUGGAGGAAGAGAAGAGGGGGAAGAGGACUACUUCCUGCUUGUCCUUCCUUAAAUAUGAGUCUUCCUGCUAUGUCACUUCCUGCCUGGAUCACCACUUCUUUACUACAUUUCCCAGAAUCCUCCCACCUAACGUGCUGCCACAUUGGCAAACAGUACUUUAUUGAACAAUCAAUAAGAUGAACAUACACAGAAGCACAUUCCCCCUCAAAACUCCUUUACAUAGGGGGUGCCAAUUAUCUCUCACUUCCUGAUAAGGACACUGGAGAGACAGCAAUUCCAUGACUGGAAUCUCCACAAAAGAAAAUGGGGGAAUGAAGGGACCAGCUCCCCAUUUCAGCAGCUAUAACAGCCUACCACGUGCUUGCCUGACCUUGCCUUGGUCACUAGGAGGUCAGAUGCCUGCCUUGUGGCAAGGAACCAAUUGGAAGUUAGCUGGUAGUGCUAUGCUUUAUGGCUCUGGGUGUGCUUUAUGGACAAGUGCACAGCAAUGACGUGCAGAGCAUAGCAACCGCCCUGGGAUGGCCUAUGGGCCAUAGCAACCAGUUGACCAAUCAACACAGGGCAAGUUCUCCAGGCCUGGAGGCACACCAAUCCUGAGCCUGUGCAUACUCCUAGACACUCCCCUUACACUGCCCUAUAAGAUCUUUAUGCCAUGGCGUCUCGGCAUCUUUCCCAGCCAUCAGCCAUGGUGGAUGGAUGAAAGGCCCGAGCUAACAUGGGGUUAUCUUGUUAAAACAACUGCAAUAAAACCUCGUGCUGUUUGCAUCAAGCUUUUGACUCUGUCUGGUGAUUGGGGUUGUCGAGGUCCUGGACCGAGAUCCUGGGGGCCUGAGCCUCCGGGGUCUUUCACACCCUCUUGCUGCCUGGCCUUUCUAGGUUGCUGCUUGUCC